AGUGACUGCAGUGCAGACGUCUGCUCUUUCGAGGGAGAGCACAGGGAUAGAGAGGUGCUGCCUCUCCUCACUCACCCACUUUGCCCCUUCUCCCUGCCCCUGCUGCAUUCAGACAGCACCACUGAGAGGGGCUGAUUCCCACAGGGCCUUUCGGGGAGGACCGGGGAUCCCACCUCU